CCGGGUUGUAUAUAUAAGAAACAAAGCUGUAAUUAUCAGUAUUCUGAAAUUUCACAGAUUCUAGCAAAGCAGAUUUUGAAAAUGCAGACCAAAGUUCUCGUUGUUAUGUUGAUGGUAGCUAUGGUGCUAAUGGUAGAGGUCAAAGGUGCACAAUUGACGAGAGACUGUCUGGACAUCUGUCGCCGAAGAAUUGACAGAUGUAAAUCAAAUUGUAACCAGGACUACAAGAACAAAAACAAAAGGAAGAAGUGCAAGGACGUCUGUAGAAAAUCUGAUAGACAAUGUAAAAAGUUCUGCCGCAACGACGACCCGACCGAUGAUUUUACUUACGAUUACUAACACUGUUGUGUAAUGAGUGGUUCUUGAACAUGCCUUGGUGUGUUUAAUUGACUUUCUAUUUCUGUUUAACCUGACGUAUAAAAAAAUAAUUGGGAAACAAAAUGUAAAAUGGUUUACAUACGUGUUUUCUCCGUGUAUUCGUUUCAUACUUUGAAUAAAAGCAUAUGAAUACUUA